rnacentral:rRNA from 1 species
UACGUAGGGUGCAAGCGUUGUCCGGAAUUAUUGGGCGUAAAGAGCUCGUAGGCGGUUUGUCGCGUCUGCUGUGAAAACCCGAGGCUCAACCUCGGGCCUGCAGUGGGUACGGGCAGACUAGAGUGUGGUAGGGGAGACUGGAAUUCCUGGUGUAGCGGUGGAAUGCGCAGAUAUCAGGAGGAACACCAAUGGCGAAGGCAGGUCUCUGGGCCACAACUGACGCUGAGGAGCGAAAGCGUGGGGAGCGAACAGG